rnacentral:rRNA from 1 species
UACGAAGGGGGCUAGCGUUGCUCGGAAUCACUGGGCGUAAAGCGCACGUAGGCCGAUUGUUAAGUCAGGGGUGAAAUCCUGGAGCUCAACUCCAGAACUGCCCUUGAUACUGACGGUCUCGAGUUCGGGAGAGGUGAGUGGAACUGCGAGUGUAGAGGUGAAAUUCGUAGAUAUUCGCAAGAACACCAGUGGCGAAGGCGGCUCACUGGCCCGAUACUGACGCUGAGGCACGAAAGCGUGGGGAGCAAACAGG